rnacentral:rRNA from 1 species
UUCUUCUUAGAAUAAGAGGUAGGGCCUGCUCACUGAAAGUUUAAAGAGCCGCAGUAUUUUGACUGUGCUAAGGUAGCAUAAUCAUUAGUCUUUUAAUUGGGGACUGGUAUGAAUGGUUUAACGAGAGAUUGACUUUUUUUAUUAAAAAAAUUGAAUUUAAUUUUUUAGUGAAAAGGCUAAAAUGUGUCAGAAAGACGAGAAGACCCUAUAGAGUUUUAUUCAUAAAUUAAAUUUAUAUUUUAAUAGGUUUUAUAGAAUGUAAUUUUAAAUUGAAUUUUGUUGGGGCGACAGUAAGAUAAGAAAAACUCUUUAUUAUARAAACUUUUAUAAAAGAAUUUUUGAUCCUCUAUAAGAGAUCAUAAGAAAAAAUUACCUUAGGGAUAACAGCGUAAUCUUUUUUGAGAGUUCUAAUCGACAAAAAGGUUUGCGACCUCGAUGUUGGACUAAAAUUUAGGUAGGGUGUAGCAGUUCUACUUUAGGGUCUGUUCGACCCAUAAUAUUUUACGUGAUCUGAGU